rnacentral:rRNA from 1 species
AGAUUGAACGCUAGCGGGAUGCUUUACACAUGCAAGUCGAACGGCAGCGCGGACUUCGGUCUGGCGGCGAGUGGCGAACGGGUGAGUAAUAUAUCGGAACGUGCCCAGUAGCGGGGGAUAACUACGCGAAAGCGUGGCUAAUACCGCAUACGCCCUACGGGGGAAAGGGGGGAUCGCAAGACCUCUCACUAUUGGAGCGGCCGAUAUCAGAUUAGCUAGUUGGUGAGGUAAAGGCUCACCAAGGCGACGAUCUGUAGCUGGUUUGAGAGGACGACCAGCCACACUGGGACUGAGACACGGCCCAGACUCCUACGGGAGCAGCAGUGGGAAUUU